rnacentral:rRNA from 1 species
UACGAAGGGGGCUAGCGUUGUUCGGAAUUACUGGGCGUAAAGCGCACGUAGGCGGGUUGUUAAGUCAGGGGUGAAAUCCUGGAGCUCAACUCCAGAACUGCCUUUGAUACUGGCAACCUAGAGGCUGGAAGAGGUUAGUGGAAUUCCCAGUGUAGAGGUGAAAUCGUAGAUAUUGGGAAGAACACCAGUGGCGAAGGCGGCUAACUGGUCCAGAUCUGACGCUGAGGUGCGAAAGCGUGGGGGAGCAAACAGGG